rnacentral:rRNA from 1 species
AAGCGCUUGCAACCAGACUUGAGCGCGACGGUUCCCCCUUCCUUUUGGUUGGGUUAUUCCGUCGUGUCCAGGCCAACAUCGGUUCUGGGGGCCGGUUAAAGGCUCUGGGAAUGUAUCUUCCUCCGGGUUGACUUAUAGCCCAGGGUGUCAUGCGGCCUCCCGGGACCGAGGAACGCGCUUCGGCUCGGAUGUUGGCGUAAUGGUUGUCAGCGA